CACCUGACCCCAUGCCGAACUCAGAAGUG
rnacentral:rRNA from 1 species